rnacentral:rRNA from 1 species
GACGAACGCUGGCGGCGUGCCUAAUACAUGCAAGUCGAGCGAGCGGCGGACGGGUGAGUAAUGUCUGGGAAACUGCCCGAUGGAGGGGGAUAACUACUGGAAACGGUAGCUAAUACCGCAUACCAUCGGAUGUGCCCAGAUGGGAUUAGCUAGUAGGUGGGGUAACGGCUCACCUAGGCGACGAUCCCUAGCUGGUCUGAGAGGAUGACCAGCCACACUGGAACUGAGACACGGUCCAGACUCCUACGGGAGGCAGCAGUGGGGAAUAUUGCACAAUGGGCGCAAGCCUGAUGCAGCCAUGCCGCGUGUAUGAAGAAGGCCUUCGGGUUGUAAAGUACUUUCAGCGAGGAGGCGUUACUCGCAGAAGAAGCACCGGCUAACUCCGUGCCAGCAGCCGCGGUAAUAC